rnacentral:rRNA from 1 species
GACGAACGCUGGCGGCGUGCUUAACACAUGCAAGUCGAACGGAAAGGCCCUGCUUUUGUGGGGUGCUCGAGUGGCGAACGGGUGAGUAACACGUGAGUAACCUGCCCUUGUCUUUGGGAUAACUUCAGGAAACUGGGGCUACUACCGGAUAGGAGCUCCUGCUGCAUGGAGGGGGUUGGAAAGUUUCGGCGGUUGGGGAUGGACUCGCGGCUUAUCAGCUUGUUGGUGGGGUAGUGGCUUACCAAGGCUGUGACGGGUAGCCGGCAUGAGAGGGUGACCGGGCACAAGAGGACUGAGAGACGCCGCAGUCUCGUACGGGGGGCAGCAGUGGGGAAUAUUGCACAAUGGGCGGAAGCCUGGUGCAGCAGCGCCGCGUGCGGGAUGACGGCCUUCGGGUUGUGAACCGCUUUCGCCUGUGACGCAGCGUGAGUGACGGUAAUGGGUAAAGAAGCACCGGCUAACUACGUG